GAAGAGACAUCUCCCUGUUUUAGAUAAAACUGUGAACUACUAAUUGAACAUACAUUUUGGGGAAUUAAUCAUUCAUGUUAAACAGUGCACUGUAUUUUCCACGACCAGCGCACUUCCCAACAGCCGCCCAACUCUCAGCACCGGAGCUCACCUCGGGCAUUGCUAGGCGCUUCUUGACAUCAUAACAUGGAGCCGCACGGCGUUCACAAUGGGCUCACUGUUGGAUUUGCACUUCGUUUGGCGGGCUCUUCUACUAUAUGGUUGCUGUAACAAUAAAACCUGAAUGGAUGUAAGAUUGCUGGAAGCACUAAUAGACUGCUGUGAUAAAAGUAUACCAGAGUAAUAUAGUGAAUUUGUAGAUUCCAUGGACAUUUUUUGUCUGUAAGUAGUAUUGACAGAUCAAACCACAGGGAAAAGAAGCCACAUCCAAUAUUCCAAGACAAAGACAGAAGAGUUUAACCAUCAGGAUGAAGUAAAUGAUCAUGCAGAUGCUGGAUUCAGAUUCAUGCAGAGCAUUCAGCAUGGGUUGGUAACACUUCAGAGCAGCAUCCCUGAUUGGCAAUGGAUUUUUUCUACAGCGAAAAUACAUAGGAAACAUGUUUGCUCCUUAUUGGCAUCAAAAGAUGAGGAACGUCAGAAACAGCAUCCUAAAUUCAAGAAUAGUAAAUGAAUACAAGUGUACUUAUUUUACAAAACUAAGUAUGCUCACACAUAUUAAAGAAACAAGCCUGAGAAAUAGCCAUGGAACAUACUCAACCACAUAGCUGCCAUAUAAGAAAUACCUAUACAAUUAAAAUAAA